GACGAACGCUGGCGGCGUGCUUAACACAUGCAAGUCGAACGGAAAGGCCCUGCUUUUGUGGGGUGCUCGAGUGGCGAACGGGUGGGUAACACGUGAGUAACCUGCCCUUGACUUUGGGAUAACUUCAGGAAACUGGGGCUAAUACCGGAUAGGAGCUCCUGCUGCAUGGUGGGGGUUGGAAAGUUUCGGCGGUUGGGGAUGGACUCGCGGCUCAUCAGCUUGUUGGUGGGGUAGUGGCUUACCAAGGCUUUGACGGGUAGCCGGCCUGAGAGGGUGACCGGCCACAUUGGGACUGAGAUACGGCCCAGACUCCUACGGGAGGCAGCAGUGGGGAAUAUUGCACAAUGGGCGGAAGCCUGAUGCAGCAACGCCGCGUGCGGGAUGACGGCCUUCGGGUUGUAAACCGCUUUCGCCUGCGACGAAGCGUGAGUGACGGUAAUGGGUAAAGAAGCACCGGCUAACUACGUG
rnacentral:rRNA from 1 species